UAACCAAACAAAUCAAAGGUUUAAAAUCACUGAGUUUCGAGUUUCGACUUUUGAUCUAUUAUUUAAUAUGUAGAAAAGUGUUCAAAAGUACUGCAAAAGUCGGCGAUCACUCUCUGACCCUCUCUCAAGAGUGUGUGGUGAAGAAACACUGCCCGUCAAAUAGUCGACUUGGAGGGCAUUGAAGAGAUUGCAAGUUAGAGAUUCUCGAGAGAGGAAUUAUAUCGGCGUCUAAGAAGACAUUACGUCAGCAAUCUGGAAUCACUAACAGAUGAGACACAAAAGCGAAUGUCAUAAGCUGCCUUCCCCUUCAUUGUAGAAGCAUUAUUACCUUGGGGAUUUUGUCUGUUGUGAUGUGUGUGUGAUGCUGCUGUGGUGGCUUUUUGGUGAAGACGAGAUCACGAGAUACAAAUUUGGAGGGGAAAAUAUUACUUAGUAAUUCAGUAAAUAUUCAUCUGACGUACAAAAGAACCAAAUAUUCGUGAUCCUCGUUGAAUUUGUGGGAAAGCUGCUGGAUCCCCACUAUUUCGUGCCAGCUUGUGAAAGGCGUGAGGAAUUCCCGAAUUCAAAUUUAGCUGCUGCGUGCUGUCUGCAAGCAAGCAAUCCAAUUGGCUGUCGCUAGGUGGCGCGAGUGUCUUCAGGGGACCAAAUUCGGCCAUUUUGUUCCUUGACGCAGCAGAAGUGGGAUGCUGGUCGUGACGUUUCCCAUGAUGAAAAUGUAAAGGUGAUUUCAAUACCACUUUGUCAAAUCAUGUAACUCGGACUUGAGUGCCUGUCCAUUUUGCCGAAAUGUCGUGCCUCGUGUGUCUUGCUGCCUGCACCCAGUCGUACGUCUCGUCCCAUGACAAAGCAAAAGUCCGCUGUUGGUUACCUUGUUGCAGCCAGGUGGUGAAAGAUGUGAUGGAGACUAAUUGAACUGUUGUAUGCAGCGUGUGGUUCCAGUGUUAUCCUGAAGCAGCCUGAAUUUGCCAGUGAUAUCCGGGUUGCUGCCUUAAAGUUAAACAUUUUUCUCUCUUUGCAUUUGUGUAUUUUGCUCUGCCAAUGCUAUCCUGUGUUUGAAAUCUUU